GCUUCCGUAGCUCAGUAGGAUAGAGCAGCAGUUUCCUAAACUGUUGGUCAGAGGUUCGAAUCCUCUCGGGAGUACCA
rnacentral:tRNA from 1 species